rnacentral:rRNA from 1 species
AUGUGGCGGACGAGCCCUUCCAUCGGGUGGGGGAGCCACUACCAGCCUGCAGGUGGCGAUGGCCACGGGCCAAUUGGCCACGGCAGGACAACCAUCCACCGGGGGAUGUCACCGGGGGAGCACACCCUGAGGGCGCCUCCGGUCACGGGUACGCACAAUUCUCAGUCUCUGCUCGGGGAGAGUUCAUUCUUUGGGGAGCGCAACUACCACAGAUUUCCACCACCACCGCAUUUCGAUUUUCCGCUGUUUGACGGGGAUGGCCCUCGAGCUUGGCGGCUGAAAUGCGAGGCGUAUUUCCGUGUGUGUACCCUUAGCCCACAUACCUGGGUGAGCUGCGCCGCGAUGUAUUUCAUAGACGGGGCUUUAUCUUGGUUGCAAUCUACCAAGGCUCACAUGAUUUACACCGAUUGGGGAACUUUUGCCGAAGCGGUCUGUGUGCAGUUCGGGCGUGAGGAAUUUCAGUCCCUCUUGCGUCAGUUUAACCGGCUGCGACAGAGUGGCUCUGUGGCUGAGUACGCCGAAAAAUUUACCCAGUUCAUGCAUAACCUUACAGCACACCAUGAGUCUUGGGAGCCCUCAUACAUUAUCACACAUUUCAUCGAUGGGUUACAAAAAGAAAUUCGAGCAGCUGUGAUUUUACAUCGACCAAAAUCUCUCGAUACUGCCGUCGACCUUGCUUGUUUGCAGGAAGAAGUGCUGGAAGCGAUGCGCCGCGAGGACAAACGGGAGGAGCGGCGCUACUCAGCGCCUGCUACGUCGCGCGCGGUGCCCCGGACGGCGCUGCCCCUUCCACCGCCACCAACUACCGCGCCACCCAAGCAGCCGGUCACGUCGGAAGCACGCAGUACCGAUCGCCACGCGGUGGAGGCAGCACACCUACCACCACCGGAGGACAAGAUGGCGAUGCUGCGAGCGUACCGCCGUGCGCGCGGUCUAUGCUUCACCUGUGGCGAGCGGUGGGGGCGCGAGCAUCGCUGCGGACCGACAGUGCAGCUUCACGUGGUGGAAGAACUGUUGGACAUGAUGCGCAGCGAACCCCUUCUCAGUGGCGAAGAAGCGUCCGGCGAAGCCAUGCCGAGCGAACAAGAGGCUGAUUGUUGUGUCAUAUCCAGGGAGGCAAUGGAGGGGGCUGAAUCCCCCACUACCAUGAGACUCCAUGGGUGGGUUCAGGACCGCGAGGUGCUCAUGUUGGUGGACUCAGGCUCUUCUCACAGCUUCGUCAGUGAGGCUCUGGCAGAUCGCUUACAAGGGGUGCAGCAGACUCAGAGCGCCCUAACGGUGCGAGUUGCAAAUGGAGGUGUGAUGCGCAGCGACAAGGAACUGCCAGAGUGUCAAUGGCAUACCCAAGGGGUGACCUUCACCACCAACCUCCGAGUGCUCCCCCUGGGCAGUUAUGACAUCAUUCUGGGGAUCGACUGGUUGGAGCAGCACAGUCCGAUGAAAGUGCACUGGAAGGAGAAGACCAUGAGUUUUAAUUAUGCCGGGAAGCGGGUACACUUGCAAGGGGCUCGAGCGGACACCACUCAGUGCCAGCAGCUUUCCAGCAAGGAGUUGGACGCGCUACUGCAGCGCGCCGGGGUCGCACGAGUGGUGCACUUGUGUGCCAUGGGAACGGAAGAUAUCAAGGCAACAGAACUACCAGUCCCUCCAGCUAUUUCCGACCUUCUGCAAGAGUACAGCCACCUUUUUGCUGAGCCCAGCGGCUUGCCACCACGACGCGCCUUCGACCACACUAUACCCCUGCUACCUGGAGCGCGCCCGGUCAACAUCCGACGGUACCGCUACAGUCCGGCGCAGAAGGAUGAGAUCGAAAGGCAGGUGGCAGACAUGUUGGCGCAAGGAAUUAUCGUACCCAGCACGAGUCCGUUUGCAUCACCAGUUCUGCUGGUGCAGAAAAAGGACCUGACAUGGCGUUUCUGCGUGGAUUACCGGCACCUCAACGCAGUGACAGUUAAGAACCGGUUCCCUCUGCCAGUGAUCGAUGAACUUCUGGAUGAACUUGCGGGAUCCAAGUUUUUCACCACCUUAGACCUGCGGUCGGGGUACCAUCAAAUUCGUAUGAAGCCCGAAGAUGAGCACAAAACCGCCUUCAAGACGCACCACGGCCAUUUCGAGUUCCGGGUUCUUUCCUAUGGACUGACGGGCGGUCCGGCGACCUUUCAAGGGGGGAUGAACAUUGUUUUGGCACCGGUCAACCGAAAGGGAGUCUUUGUUUUCAUGGAUGACAUCCUGAUUCACAGCGCCACCUUGGAACGACACAUCCAGCUCAUGCGGCAAGUGUUCCAGCUACUUAACGAACACCAACUGAAGAUCAAGUUGAGCAAGUGUUCAUUUGCCAGAACCAGUCUCACCUAUUUGGGGCACGAAAUCAGUGAAGAAGGUGUACGAACAGACGACAAAAAUGUGGCUGCAGUUCAGAAGUGGCCCACCCCGACAAAUGUCAAGGAGGUGCGCGGGUUCCUUGGAUUAGCAGGCUACUACCGCAAGUUCGUCAAGAACUUUGGCAUCAUCAGCCGUCCGCUCACGGAUUUGCUCAAGAAGAACACGGUCUUCAGAUGGACUGAGCUCGAGGCCGCAUCGUUCCAAGAGCUCAAAACUGCACUAGUCUCUGCUCCUGUGUUGGCCCUGCCGGAUUUCUUGAAGCCGUUCGAGCUUGAAACAGAUGCCUCAGACCGGGGCAUUGGAGCAGUGUUACGCCAGGGUAACCACCCAGUGGCGUUUCUUAGCAAAUCAUUGGGCCCAAAGAACCGUGCCUUGUCCACCUAUGAAAAGGAAGGCCUGGCAAUCCUUAUGGCAGUUGAGCAAUGGCGUAUUUACCUGCAGAAUGACGAGUUUGUGAUCCAUACAGACCAACGCAGCCUGGUACACCUCGAAGAUCAGCGCUUGGCUACACCCUGGCAACAGAAGAUUAUGGCAAAGUUGCUGGGUUUGCGCUACAGGAUUGUGUACGAACGGGGAGAGGACAACCGGGUGGCUGAUGCCCUGUCACGUCGACCCGGGCCGUUGCAAGGUGACCUGGCCACAGUUACAGUGGCAGUGCCAAUCUGGCUUGAAGCAGUGCAACAAGGAUACAACACUGACCCAGCGGCUCAAAAAUUGCUUGCAUGUCUAGCUACUGAACCCAACGGCCACGACGGAUUCCUUCUUCAGAACGGCAUCAUCAAACACAAUGGGCGUGUGUGGCUCGGGAACAACGUGCCCUUACAAAAACAAGUCUUGGCAGCCUUACACUCCGGCGCGAUUGGCGGUCACUCAGGGUUCAAUGCCACCUACCGUCGAGUCCACCGGCUGUUCACUUGGCCGGGCAUGAAGCAACACGUGAAGCUGCUGGUGGAGGAAUGUCAGGUCUGCAAGCAAGCAAAACCGGAACGAGUCCGUUACCCAGGACUGCUGGAACCCCUACCCGUGCCCAAGCAAGCUUGGGAGCUUAUCACCAUGGAUUUCGUCGAAGGACUGCCGCAGUCAUCACGAUACAACAGCAUCAUGGUGGUGGUGGACAAGUUCUCGUGGUACGCACAUUUCAUCCCAUUGUCGCACCCCUUCACGGCGUUUCAAGUUGCCCUUGCAUUCGUCAACAACAUAUACAAGCUGCACGGGUUGCCGGAGGCCAUCGUCUCGGAUCGAGACCCCAUCUUCACCAGCACCAUGUGGAAGGAGCUGUUCAGGUUGACUCACACGGAACUGCGCAUGAGCACAGCGCGGCACCCACAGACCGACGGACAGUCCGAGCGAGUAAACCAAUGUCUGGAGACAUACUUACGCUGCUUUGUGCACGCCUGUCCAUCCAAGUGGUCUGCCUGGUUGGCCCUCGCAGAGUUCUGGUACAACACCUCACCGCAUUCAGCGUUGGGGACUUCUCCGUUUGAAGCUCUGUACGGUCAUGGCCCUCGGCAUUUUGGUAUUCUCGACCCGAUGGCAUGCGCUGCACCGGACCUCCAGGAUUGGCUUCAGGAUCGAGCCCAGGUGGAGGCGCUGCUAAGGCAACAUCUGCUUCGUGCUCAGCAGCAAAUGAAAGAAUCCGCGGACAAGCGACGAUCGGACCGAGCGUUUGAAGUGGGCGACUGGGUGUUCCUCAAGAUCCAGCCCUACUUACAAUGCUCCCUGGCCACCAGAACUAACCAGAAGCUGUCGUUCAAAUACUUUGGUCCCUUUCAGGUGCUUCAGCGGGUGGGUUCGGUGGCGUACAAGCUCCAGCUUCCGGACACGUGCUCCAUACACCCCGUCUUCCACGUCUCUCAACUGCGGCGCACCUUGCCACCAGCAGAGAAGGCCCUUGAAGACCUGCCCACGGCAGCCGCACCAAGCCCGGAGCCGGUGGAGAUCCUGGCCAGCCGGCAACGUCUACGAGGCACGACCCCAGUGCAGCAAGUGCUGGUGAGGUGGACUGAUCAGCCAGCCUCAUUGGCGACCUGGGAGGAACGCGACGAGCUGCAUCGACACUACCCCGACGCUCCAGCUUGGGGACAAGCUGUUUCUCAAGAUGGGGGGGAUGUUACGGCCCACCCUGCUACCGCUGCGCAGAGUCCAGCAAGAGACAAGGCCCAGGAACCAGGCAAGAGGGUGAGAAAGCCCAGUGAGCGCUACCCAGCUCACAAGUGGGUGACCUAG